AGGCCAGGUCCAUGGUUAGCAACAUGAUGAAGGAUGCCAGCUUCCCCUGAAGAUCAACCCAUCAUCGAAGUUGAAAACUUUGAGAUCACAAGACACCAAUAGACGUUCCAGUACAUCUUUGUGGAUUCCAAGACAUCCUCACAGAGACCUCCAGUACUACAUUGAAUGGAAGUGGUUUGAAUCACAGAGUUGAUCUCAGCUGCUCCAAGUUCUCCUGUCCAGGUCAACUAUCCUGAACUAGGAAGUGGGGAAACUGCCCAGAUGGAUCAUACAACCAUGUCUAUGAUCUUCCUGUUUCUCUGGGAUUCUGAUAUGAGAGGGUGCAGCGUAUUGAACAUGGUACCUGCCUUCUCUAAUAGCAAGGAGAAAGUAAGUCCUUUAAUUCUUUAUUAACUUUCUCUUUUAAAAUUUAUCUUCUGAGUUUGAGUUAAAAUUUUGUGACGUCUCUUGUAAACGUCUACUGUAAAAACUUUUCUCUGGCCAACAAUCUUCAUUAAAUACGAAUGAGAGUUUGUGUUUGGGGAGAGUGGUGGCAAAGAAAUUGGUUCAUUUUUUUUUCAUUCACCUCCUUUAUUCAAAGCUAUCCUGAUCUUUGAGAUCAGGAACAAUGUCUUCUUUGAUUUUCAACCUCUUAUGCUUAGCACAGUACUAGCACAGAAAGCAUAAACUCCUUUAGCCAAUUUUUGCUUUUUUAAUAUAAUAAGGGCAUAUAAAAUAAACAAAAAUUUAAAGAAAAAAUAA
rnacentral:lncRNA from 1 species